GCGCCCGUAGCUCAAUUGGAUAGAGCGUCUGACUACGGAUCAGAAGGUUGUGGAUUCGAAUUCUUCCGGGCGCGCCA
rnacentral:tRNA from 3 species